UAAAAAUUAAGUUAUUAAAAGUAAUUAUAAAAUUAAUUGUUUUAGUAUUUAAUAUAGAAAAAAUAAUUUUAAUUAUAGUUUAAUAGUAUUGUUAAAGAAAAUUGAAAUAAAUUGAAAAAUUUUUAUUAUGAAAGAAAAUUUAAUUUAUUGUACCUUGUGUAUCAGGGUUUAUUAAAUAAAAAUUAUUUAUAUAAUUUUCUCGAUUUUAAAAGAGUUAAUAUAUUGUUAAAGUUAAUGUUGUAAAAUUAUUUUAAACAAUAUAUUAGAAAUGAAAUGUUAUUCGUUUUUAAAGGUAUCUAGUUCUUUAAGAAAUAAAUUUAAUUUAGAAAUUUUAUAUUAUUUAAUUAAAUAAAUUAAUUAAAUAAUUAUUUAAUUUUAAUAUUUUAUGGGAUAAGCUAUAAAAUAAAAUUUUAAAAAUUAGUAGAUUUAUUAAUAAAUAUAAGCUUAGAAAUAGUUAUUAUUAAUAAAAGUGUUAUAAUUUAUUAUAUAAAAAUUAUUAUUUAUUAAAUUUUAAGUUUUUAUUAAAGUAUUUAUUAUAAUAAAAUAAAUAAAUAAAUAAUGAUAAAAUUAGUAUAUUUAAUUGUAUAAAUAAAUAUAAUUGAAAAGUUUUUGUAAAGAAUUCGGCAAAAAUAAUGUUCGCCUGUUUAACAAAAACAUGUCUUUUUGAAUUUUUUUAAAAGUCUAACCUGCCCACUGAAAAUUUUAAAUGGCCGCAGUAUAUUAACUGUGCAAAGGUAGCAUAAUCAUUAGUCUUUUAAUUGAAGGCUGGUAUGAAUGGUUGGACGAAACAUUAACUGUUUUAUAUAAAUUUAUAAUAAAAUUUUAUUUUUUAGUUAAAAAGCUAAAAUGUAUUUAAAAGACGAGAAGACCCUAUAAAUCUUUAUAUUUAAAUUUUUAUAAUUUUUUAGAUUUUUUUUAUUAUAAUAAUUAAUAAUAUUUUAUUGGGGUGAUAUUAAAAUUUAAUAAACUUUUAAUUAUUUAAAUCAUUAAUUUAUGAACAAUUGAUCUAUUAUUAAUGAUUAAAAAAAUAAGUUACUUUAGGGAUAACAGCGUAAUUUUUUUGGAGAGUUCAUAUCAAUAAAAAAGAUUGCGACCUCGAUGUUGGAUUAAGAUAUAAUUUUAGGUGUAGCAGCUUAAAUUUUAAGUCUGUUCGACUUUUAAAUUCUUACAUGAUCUGAGUUCAAACCGGCGUAAGCCAGGUUGGUUUCUAUCUUUAGAAAAUUAAUAUAUUUCAGUACGAAAGGACCUAAUAUUUAAUAAAUUAUUAUUUUAAUAUUGAAUAUAAUUAAUAUAAUU
rnacentral:rRNA from 1 species